GGGCCCGCACAAGCGGUGGAGCAUGUGGUUUAAUUCGAUGCAACGCGAAGAACCUUACCAGGACUUGACAUACUACAAAUUCUUUUGAGAAAAAGAAGUGCCUUCGGGAAUGUAGAUACAGGUGGUGCAUGGCUGUCGUCAGCUCGUGUCGUGAGAUGUUGGGUUAAGUCCCGCAACGAGCGCAACCCUUAUUUUUAGUUACCAAUUCGUUGGGUUCUCUAGAAAGACUGCCGGUGACAAACCGGAGGAAGGUGAGGAUGACGUCAAGUCAGCAUGCCCCUUAUGUCCUGGGCUACACACGUGCUACAAUGGUUAAGACAAAGAGUCGCGAGCUCGUGAGAGUCAGCUAAUCUCAUAAACUUAGCCCAAGUUCAGAUUGUAGGCUGCAACUCGCCUACAUGAAGUUGGAAUCGCUAGUAAUCGCUGGUC
rnacentral:rRNA from 1 species